rnacentral:lncRNA from 1 species
UGAUGGCUUCCUGUGGUCAGGAGACUUUUGGCUGGAGGCUUGACCCCACUUUUCCUGAUGAAUGACCUUUAGAGGUGGCUCCAGUUCUGCUGGUAGCUGGGAAAGUAGCUACUAAUUGUCCACGCUUAGAUGCUAUUGACAGAAGGUGUAACAUCUCCCAGGACUUUGGAUUCUAAAAAGGAACUUGAUAAAAACUAAAUGACUGAUAGAAGAAAGAAGAGUCAAGGCAGACCCACCAGGAUCGCCGCAUCUGUGUCCCUCAAGUUAAUGACAUUUGAUAAACAACUUCUUUGUCUGUUCCUUCCCUUUGUCUGCAGCCCAGGAGACACAGUGACAGAAGGACAAUGCCUGGGCCUGAGCUGGGGGCUGCAUUCCAUUGCUGCCUCUUCCUGGCACAACCUAUAAUUGUUC